GAUGAACGCUGGCGGCGUGCCUAAUACAUGCAAGUCGAGCGAACAGACGAGGAGCUUGCUCCUCUGACGUUAGCGGCGGACGGGUGAGUAACACGUGGAUAACCUACCUAUAAGACUGGGAUAACUUCGGGAAACCGGAGCUAAUACCGGAUAACAUGUUGAACCGCAGGGUUCAACAGUGAAAGACGGUCUUGCUGUCACUUAUAGAUGGAUCCGCGCCGCAUUAGCUAGUUGGUAAGGUAACGGCUUACCAAGGCAACGAUGCGUAGCCGACCUGAGAGGGUGGUCGGCCACCCUGGAACUGAGACACGGUCCAGACUCCUACGGGAGGCAGCAGUAGGGAAUCUUCCGCAGUGGGCGAAAGCCUGACGGAGCAGCGCCGCGUGAGUGACGACGGUCUUCGGAUCGUAAAACUCUGUUAUUAGGGAAGAACAAAUGUGUAAGUAACUAUGCACGUCUUGACGGUACCUAAUCAGAAAGCCCCGGCUAACUACGUG
rnacentral:rRNA from 1 species